rnacentral:rRNA from 1 species
ACACCGGCAGCUCAAGUGGUAGCCGCUUUUAUUGGGCCUAAAGCGUCCGUAGCCGGUCUGAUAAGUCUCUGGUGAAAUCCCACAGCUUAACUGUGGGAAUUGCUGGAGAUACUAUCAUGACUCGAGGUCGGGAGAGGCUGGAGGUACUCCCAGGGUAGGGGUGAAAUCCUGUAAUCCUGGGAGGACCACCUGUGGCGAAGGCGUCCAGCUUGAACGAACCUGACGGUGGGGGACGAAAGCCAGUGGCGCGAACCGGAUUAGAUACCCGGGUAGUCCUGGCCGUAAACGAUGUGGACUUGGUGUUGGGAUGGCUUCGAGCUGCCCCAGUGCCGAAGGGAAGCUGUUAAGUCCACCGCCUGGGAAGUACGGUCGCAAGACUGAAACUUAAAUGAAUUGGCGGGG